rnacentral:lncRNA from 1 species
UUAACCUUUCACAGCCAGCAGUACAAGUUACAUCUUAGUGAUGGAGAGCCGCUCCUGGUCAGCGGCUCAGUCGUACUGCAGGACAUACCACACAGACCUGACCAGUAUAAGAAGCAAAGAGGAGAAAUCCAACAUCACGCUCACUUUGAAUGGAUCAGUGGUUCAGUAUGUGUAGAUUGGCCUCUACAGGGAUCCCUGGGCCUUCUGGUCUGACAACACAACCUCUACAUUCACUAACUGGAUGUCUGGUCAGCCUGCGAAUUCAUAUUCAUCUGAGUACUGUGGAGAUUUGAAUUUAAUGUCGGGGAAAUGGAAUGACUGCAACUGUGCCGUCAGAAUCUAUUUUUUCUGUUUCACAGGUGAGGUCCAGAAUGCAAACACUGUAAGAUCCUGUCAUCAUGUAAAACACUAAUGUUUGUGUUUUUAUAUGUGGUUCAUUUUUAGCAGUGACAAAGCAAACAGUGGUGAAAAUGAAGCUUCAGUCAGAGGUAGACAUGCACAGCACAGAGAUCCAGCAGCAGGUUUCACAGCAGCUGUCAGGCCUCAUGCUGUCAGAAGGACUGACAGACUUCAGGAUUCGAUGGAGGAAAGUCCAGAGUUACCGUGAUGACCAGUCAAAGAAGCAGGAUGUGGACGGUGACUGCAAAACUGAAGUCUGACUGGACUGAACCACUUCAUGUGUGAAGUUAAUAACAUGCUGUGCUGAGCUGUCUCAUCCUUUAAAUCUUUCAAUAUUUCAGAGUGUAAAGUUCCACCAACAGCUCAUUUGUUCAGCUGCAGUUGUAGUUUGGUAGAAAUUCUUUAAUCAGAGGUCCACUCACUAGUUUUCCUGAUAGGCUCUAGUCUCUUGUUUUGUUUUCCAGCAUCACUUUCAACACUUUAGACACUGUCCGUCUGUGGACAUCACUGCACAGGCUUUGUCUGUUUGCAGUUUGUUAGGAUUCAUAGUUCUAUUUCAUUGUGACAGCAACAUCUGCUGACUUACACAAAUGGUAAAGAAGAAAGUGAGGAGACUCAGAGCUCUGCUUGAGAAGGUCAGGGUGGACAACAAAACAUUGCACUGUUUAUGUCCUGUUUCUACUUUUACUGUUUGUUAACUGUAACAGCCAUAAAUGAGACCAUAACAGUCCCAAACCUUACCUGAUAUACAUUUGGAUCAUCGCUUUCAAGGAAACCCAGUUGCAAUGCAUGCUGGAUGUCCUCGUAUCUGUCACUUUAACUUCACUGUUACUUUGGAGAAGCAGAAAAAGUCAUAAGGAGCUUACUGUAGGAAGUAGAGCAAGUGAUGGGUAAAGUUUGUGCUGGUGUUGCCAUAGUAUUUUCUCCUGUGUUGACAUAUUUGUCUACUUUUGUUAUUGUUGCUUUCAGCUUUCUUGAUGUUAUAUUUUAAAGGGUUUUUAUGUGGUGUGUGGUUCAUUCAGGUUAUUGUGUGUUAGAAAUAAUAAACAGCU